GAAGUAAUAGAUUACUCUGGUACAUCAGGUAGUAAUAGAUUACUCUGGCUCAUCAGGUAGUAAUAGAUUACUCUGGCUCAUCAGGUAGUAAUAGAUUACUCUGGUUCAUCAGGUAGUAAUAGAUUACUCUGGUUCAUCAGGUAGUAAUAGAUUACUCUGGCUCAUCAGGUAGUAAUAGAUUACUCUGGCUCAUCAGGUAGUAA